rnacentral:rRNA from 1 species
GGAAUUUUGCGCAAUGGGGGAAACCCUGACGCAGCAACGCCGCGUGAUUGAAUAAGCCCUUCGGGGUGUAAAGAUCUGUCAGUAGGGACGAAACUUGACGGUACCUACAGAGGAAGCAUCGGCUAACUCCGUGCCAGCAGCCGCGGUAAUACGGGGGAUGCGAGCGUUGUCCGGAAUCAUUGGGCGUAAAGAGUUCGUAGGUGGUUUGUUAAGUUAGGUGUUAAAGGCGUAGGCUCAACUUACGUAUGGCACUUGAUACUGGCAGACUUGAAUGCGGUAGAGGUAAAGGGAAUUCCUGGUGUAGCGGUGAAAUGCGUAGAUAUCAGGAGGAACAUCGGUGGCGUAAGCGCUUUACUGGGCCGUAAUUGACACUGAGGAACGAAAGCCGGGGUAGCAAAUG